ensembl:lncRNA
GUCAAUCUCUCGAAGACCUUCGAGGGCAUUAUCCUCCUAAAAUCCCUUAAUUACUGCUCUGGGGCUCAUGUGUGUUCCUGGCCCGCAGCGUGCACGAGAGGGGAGUGCUGGCAGCAGUCACCCCGGUGUGAUGUUCAUUAACUUCCCCAGUCUCUGCUCUUUCCUCUUUUGAGCAGCAGAGGGAAGAAAGCUUCCUAGGAGGCUGCAAAGGGAGCAAGAAGAGCUCCAUGAUGGGAAGGAGCUGUGGUGGGACAGGACUCCUGACUUGACGUUCAUGCCAGGACAUUCAUUGCAAUUACCCUUGAUUUGAGAGCAGCCUCUAAAGGAAAUAAAAAUGACAGCUUUGGAGCAAUCCUGUUGUGCAGCAUGAUGGCUCUUGGCAGCAGGAGACCUAAUCACCCUCCUGAAGGCUGCUAUUCCAACGCGGGAUCUGAACAGACAAGUCUUCAAGGAACGGAAUCUGUAACAGCAUUAAAAGGCUAGGGAAUUGAAUCCCAGAGCCUCAGAGGGGCAAUUUCAAGUCCUCAGCCAACUGAAGUUGAACUGUACACCUAUGGCAAGCUAAUUCCCAGCCCCGAGCUUUACCUCAUCGUAGGUCACAGAAACGACAACUUCAGAAUACCUGGAGUGAUGAUGGAGUGAUGAUGUGACCUUUUGCACUGUGGGGGAGGCAUUCCGUGCUCCGAUGGCUGUGGGCUCCUGUUAGCUCCAAUCUCCCCCAUCAUCACCGAAGACCAUUUCUGUUGGCAGAGAAGAAAGGGAAGAAGCCCUGCCUGCUGCCUUCUCCUGAGCACACUGCCCGAGAGCCAACAGCCUGGACCACAGGAGGCUUCCAGAUGCUGGCAGAGAAGCAGGAAUCAUUACAACGGAGCAGAGCCCCACACAAAGGAGCUCCUGACACCCGCCGGCAGGCGAUGAAUUAGUGCAGCACAGCUGGAGCUGCUUGAGGGCUGCAGAUGCAAAUCCCAGAGCUGUUCCUGCAUGUACCGGAGACAGUGCGGCCAGUCUGGGGGUUCCCAUAUAUAAGAUAUGUCGAGGUGCUAGAGCGAAGCUGAGAAAAAAUGUAUCUUUGAAGAGGCAAAGUGGACAUGUCAUUGAUGUCUAUGGUUAUUAAGAGGGGGAUGUGCAGAAGGGAGAACCAGACUGUCCUUGGAGAUGCACGGCGACAGGACGAGAGGCAACAAGCACAAAUGGCAGCAUGGAAAUUCUCAAUAGAGAGUGAAAAAUGCCCACCAUGAGAAUGUUCAAAUGGCAGACUGGGAGCCCAGAAAGGCUGUGAGACUCCAGUGUAUGAGAUGCUCAAAACUCAGCCGGACAUAGCAGCCUGGUAAGAUGGGCCUGCAUGGACUGGAAGCCAUGCUUUUAAUUGCAGCUGGUGUGACCUCUGUGUGACACUGGGGUGACAUUAUCCAAGCCUCUUAAGCAGAAGCCCGGUCCCAUCCCAGUUAAAUCUGCCAGGUGAGUCCACUUACUUCUAAAUGAUGUUGGUCUCUAUCAGCAUUGCAGGAUGCAUCUUGCUGCCACUGUCCUCUCCUAGGGGCAGUUUCAAGCACAACCCUUUGAAACACGAAGCAGGAGUGGGAUGCUAGGUAUGGCUCCCUAGAGAAAAGCCACUCCCAAAGCCAGCAGGAUGCCACAGCUCUACAGAGGGAUUCUGCUCACGGUGUCAUCACUUCCCAUGUGUGUCCCCUGUGGAUCCUGCUGUGACACAGAGGCGUCAGAUGAACCCGUGUGUCUCCUGCACACUCAACACCUGAACACGUCAGAUGUGCACUUCUGGAAGGAGCAGUGAGAGAUGCCAUCACUCACAGUCUGUCAGUGGCCGCUGCCCAAUUCCAGGCUCCCCACAGAGCCUGCACCCUACAAGAGGAGUGCUCAGCCCCUUCCCCAGCAUUCAGGUCUCAGUGUAACUCAAUCCCAGGGCUCUCCAUACCUACCCUCUGUCUGCAGAGUCCUUUUGCAGGCUUGCUGACAUUUAUAUACCAUUCUAAAUAUCACUGAAGCAUUGCUGGGAGAGAGGAAAUGUGGAAUGAAUGACACAGACUUGCAAGCAGCAAAGGGAAGAAGGUGGUGCCGAGUUUGAUUGUAGUAACUGUGCCAACACCCCCAAGGAACACAGCCUCCCACAGACACUGUGCCUUUUCCAGGUGAUGAAAUGAACUUCUUUAGCUUUAACCCUAAGUAAACGAUGGCCCAGCUCAUAAAACAUCCUGGAGCGCAGAACUGUUUACAGACUUUUAUUUGUCUUGAGCUUCGUGCUUUGUAAGAUUGGAGGUGAUUUCAUUACCUGGCUUUGUGCAAUGUCAUUCCGGCAACUGGAUCAUAAGUGCCACGUGGAUGUUUACAGUCAUGGGGAAAUACAUUAUGGCCAGAAAGGACGGCUGCAGAUUAAUAGAAAUAUUCUUCUGGAACACCCGAGGGCCAAUCCUGAGGAUCGAUCCUCUCUUGCUUCUUCUUAAUCUGAAUUCUACUUUGCUCUUAGCUGGAGCUGGAGAGAACCUCCCCUGCCCCUGGUGCUGCUUAGGGCAGGACCAAGCCGUCCCCUCCCUGUAAAGGGGCAUUGGAAUGGGGGAACAUUUAUUUCCCCCUGGAAUUAUUGCCCCUGCUUCAUGGUGGAUGGGAGCAGCAGUGAGGCACACCCAGCUUGGGUGUCACAUGAAACGGAGCUUGGUCAGCUUCCAGGAGUGGAAUUCAGCCUUUUCUUUUCCAAGAAAGGAUGCAAGCAAUUUGUCUUUAGAAUACUAUAAAGACGCCUCAAGAAUAUCAUAUAGUCUGCUAGUGCUGCAGAGAACCUCUUAAAAACUUAAUUGCCUGUGUCACCAAAUGAGGAGAGAGCAGUCCCUUGAAAGAUCCAGUGUUUUGAAAACAAGCAGUCAGUUCUAAAUACUUUCAAAUGGUACAUGCUUCUUUACUCCUGCUGACAAUAAGAGUAAUUGCUGAGCACAGGAUAAAGGAGAUUGUCUGAAAUGUUUUAUUUUCUUGUUGCAUCCUUUUUUUUUUUUUUCCUACAAUGCAAAAAGACAGAGGCGUCCUUGGGCUGCAACCAGUCAGACAGAGAGGUUUCCAAGAGGCAGGUGAGAGGCAGAGAUCUCAACAGCAAAGUGACUCUCCUGGUUUGAGAGCACCUCCGCUCUCACCACUCGUGCUGUGAGUGCUGCCUGCAGGGAUGACAGAUCAGGACGUUUCCUCCCAUCAUUUACUCACUGCACUGCCUCACUAACAUCUCUAUUAAUUCUGGGAUACAGAAGACCUCGAGCAUCUCCGUUUGCUCACUCACCUCUGACUUUUACUGUGGCCAUAGUGUUCAGUGUGCGUGGUUCCAUCACCCGGCCUGCUCAGAGCUGAUGUCAGUGUCUGCCAUCACUCUGUUUGCCCAUUAAGGACUUGUUGGCUCCCUGCAUUUUCCUGUGUGGCCCACGGUGCAGCGUAGUGCACUGGAAAGCAAUAUCCAUUCUAACGUGAUGUGACAUGGGAAACCUCAGAGGAAGCACAGGCUUAUGCUGGCUGUGCUGCUGCACAGUCAAUAGUCCUCCUUUAUGCCUGCCAUUAAAGCAGGAGCAAACAGUUAUGAUCUAUGGCUUGACUUUUUAUCUAUUUAUCUUUUUAUCUUUUUACCUUUUGAUCUAUAGCUUCUUUUUAUUUAUGCAAUCACCACGUUUUGUUUUGGGUUGUUAUUUUUUGUUGUUGUUUUUCCUUGGUAAGCAAGUAGAUAUGCAAAGCACAGCAGAUGUCCCGAACUUGAAGAGCCAAGGGAACAUUUCUUCUUGGCCCUUAGAUGAAAUGGACUGGGCUGUGCUCCAGGAAAUAGGAAUGAUUAAUCCAUCAUUGAACAUGAACUUAAACGAGCUAAAAUUGGGCAUUUUAGUUCUGAUGUAUGCGCUAAGUGAAAGAAUCAUUCAGAGGAUAAAAGUAAUGGCUUUGGGACGGUGUUGUAAGACAGAGCGGCUCUGCAGGAGCAGGAGGGUGAGAGCAGCAGGGCUGAGUGCACGCUACUAUGCUUCCUGAGUGCAGGAAUGGGAACUGCUGCAUGACCCCAACAGUCUGCAGUGUGGGUUCAGUGCUGUGACACACACUGCCUGCUCCAGCCCCAGCUCGGUGGCUUUAGGCUUAGGAUGUGCUCCAGCUGCCAGACAUACAGCCAAUUGCCCAGAAGGCAACUGCAUUGCCCGUGGAUGCAGUGAUAUGAUCAAGUUCACCCAAAGUCUGUGUCAGAGAAAGGAGCUGAGCCCAGGGCUCAUGCAGCAGGGACCAACCAUCACAGCAUGGGGCCUGGAUGCACUUCAUGGAAAAGGAUAUAGUGGUUGAAAAAGGGCCCAGUGUAAAUCCUGCCCUGCCUCUGCCAGUGCUGAGAUCAGCAGGUUUUAAGUCUAAUUCCAGCAGAAGAUUUCUGCCUGUGCCAGAUGUGGUUUUCAGAUGCUGCACUGUGGCUUUGCUGCAUUCCUGGCCAACUGCAGCCAAGCAGACCCCUGGAGCCUUGCCAGAGAGGGAGAAGGUAAGCAAGAUCCCAAGGUGCCCCUCUCAACUGGAUGAUGCAUUUCAGCUUUGCUUCCAAGCCUUCCAGAAGGCACCAGCCCCUCUGCCCAGGUAUUAUUCUUGGGCGCUCUCAAAAUAGCUGCCUUUGCCUGGGAAUCAGAGAGGAGAGCUCAGUGAGUCCCCCUGAAUCUCCAGCUGCAGUAAUAUGUUGUUAUGAACCUCUACCAGAGCACUCGUAGUGCAGCUAGAGAGUCUGUCUGACAUUGCCUCCAGUGACCUUUUCGCUAUAGUCCAAGUGCCGUGGAGCUGGUGUUUCAAGAGGAAUUCAAAUGGAAUUUACUCAGGCAGAAAGGAUUGGCCUGGGGAUAGCCCUUCUACAGCUUCUGGUUCUCCUUGUCAUUCUCAUGGAAAUUGCAAUUCUUUAUGCAUGGUGCUUCUUCCUGCACCGCAGCAAAUGCGUCCCUUCAAGCAGCAGGCUGCUAACAGAGGGGCUCCAAAAUGAAGGCAUAACCCAUUACAAGGUCACAACGUGGCCAUGAGCCCUGACACCAAAACUGGCUGGUGGACAUCAGGCACCCGCCUCGAGUUCCAGGAUGCAGCUUGUUUACGUGGGAUGCGAGCAGCAGGGAUUUGUGUAAGCUUCGGGGCAUGGGGGAUUUGACGCAGGGCUCUGUAGGGCAGGGGGCAGCGGGGCAGCUGGUUGGUGCUCAGAGCUGAUGGCAAAGGGCUGAGUCCCUGCUUGGUGUGGGCAAAGUGUGUGCUGGGGGAGCAUCACAUUUCUUCAUGCGCUUUUCUGGCGCGGUGCGAUUAUUUCACACGUGUUUGUAUGAGAGCUGCUUUAAAAUGUAAUUUCUUUGAUUAAUUUGGUGUCUGUAUUUUCACUGUUUUGUUCGCUCCAAUUUAUGACAAAAUUGAACAAAGUGGGUAACAAAAUAUAGCCCUGUCAGGCUCCUGUCUUCACGGAUAUAAAGAAAAAUGUGAAACUGUCAGGCACACAAAUGUGCCAAACCCCAAGGAAAAUUAUUACAUUCUGC